rnacentral:rRNA from 1 species
CCUACGGGAGGCAGCAGUGGGGAAUCUUGCGCAAUGGCCGAGAGGCUGACGCAGCGACGCCGCGUGGGGGAUGAAGCAUUUCGGUGUGUAAACCCCUGUUGCUCGGGACGAACGACCCUUUUCGAGGGGUGUGACGGUACCGAGUGAGGAAGCACCGGCUAACUCCGUGCCAGCAGCCGCGGUAAUACGGAGGGUGCAAGCGUUGUCCGGAAUCACUGGGCGUAAAGGGCGCGUAGGUGGUUAGAUGCGCCGGUGGUGAAAGCGCAGGGCUCAACCCUGCGUCGGCCAUCGGGACGGUCUGACUGGAGCACUGUAGAGGCAGGUGGAAUUCCGGGUGUAGCGGUGGAAUGCGUAGAGAUCCGGAAGAACACCGGUGGCGGAGGCGGCCUGCUGGGCAGUUGCUGACACUGAGGCGCGACAGCGUGGGGAGCAAACAGGAUUAGAUACCCUGGUAGUCCACGCCGUAAACCGAUGGGCACUAGGUGCUUGGGGGAGCGACCCCCUGAGUGCCGACGCUAACGCAUUAAGUGCCCCGCCUGGGGAGUACGACCGCAAGGUUGAAACUCAAAGAGUAGUAGCGNGNGAGAGCGACGACGACGACGACGAGGAGG